rnacentral:rRNA from 1 species
CCUACGGGCGGCUGCAGUCGAGAAUCAUUCACAAUGGGGGAAACCCUGAUGGUGCGACGCCGCGUGGGGGAAUGAAGGUCUUCGGAUUGUAAACCCCUGUCAUGUGGGAGCAAAUUAAAAAGAUAGUACCACAAGAGGAAGAGACGGCUAACUCUGUGCCAGCAGCCGCGGUAAUACAGAGGUCUCAAGCGUUGUUCGGAAUCACUGGGCGUAAGGCGUGCGUAGGCUGUUUCGUAAGUCGUGUGUGAAAGGCGCGGGCUCAACCCGCGGACGGCACAUGAUACUGCGAGACUAGAGUAAUGGAGGGGGAACCGGAAUUCUCGGUGUAGCAGUGAAAUGCGUAGAUAUCGAGAGGAACACUCGUGGCGAAGGCGGGUUCCUGGACAUUAACUGACGCUGAGGCACGAAGGCCAGGGGAGCGAAAGGGAUUAGAUACCCCGGUAGUC